rnacentral:rRNA from 1 species
CCUACGGGAGGCAGCAGUGGGGAAUAUUGCACAAUGGGGGAAACCCUGAUGCAGCAACGCCGCGUGAGUGAAGAAGUAUUUCGGUAUGUAAAGCUCUAUCAGCAGGGAAGAAAAUGACGGUACCUGUGUAAGAAGCCCCGGCGAACUACGUGCCAGCAGCCGCGGUAAGACGUAGGGGGCAAGCGUUAUCCGGAUUUACUGGGCGUAAAGGGAGCGUAGACGGUUGGACAAGUCUGAAGUGAAAGCCUGGGGCUCAACCCCGGGACUGCUUUGGAAACUGCCUGACUGGAGUGCUGGAGAGGCAAGCGGAAUUCCGAGUGUAGCGGUGAAAUGCGUAGAUAUUAGGAAGAACACCAGUGGCGAAGGCGGCUUGCUGGACAGUAACUGACGUUGAGGCUCGAAAGCGUGGGGAGCAAACAGGAUUAGAUACCCCAGUAGUC